CCUACGGGGGGCUGCAGUGGGGAAUCUUGCACAAUGGGGGAAACCCUGAUGCAGCGACGCCGCGUGGAGGAUGAAGGAUUUAGGUCUGUAAACUCCUUUUUCAGGGAAAGACUUAGGACGGUACCCUGAGAAUAAGCACCGGCUAACUACGUGCCAGCAGCCGCGGUAAGACGUAGGGUGCAAGCGUUGUCCGGAUUUACUGGGCGUAAAGAGCGCGUAGGCGGUCUGUUAAGUGUGAAGUGAAAUCUCCAGGGCUCAACCCGGAAACUGCUUCGCAUACUGGCAGACUAGAGGGAUGCAGAGGUAAGUGGAAUUCCUGGUGUAGCGGUGACAUGCAUUGAUAUCAGGAGGAACACCCAUGGCGAAGGCAGCUUACUGGGCAUCAUCUGACGCUGAGGCGCGAAAGCGUGGGGAGCAAACAGGAUUAGAUACCCCUGUAGUC
rnacentral:rRNA from 1 species